rnacentral:rRNA from 1 species
UGGGGAAUUUUGGACAAUGGGCGCAAGCCUGAUCCAGCCAUGCCGCGUGCGGGAAGAAGGCCUUCGGGUUGUAAACCGCUUUUGUCAGGGAAGAAAUCUUCUGAGUUAAUACCUCGGGGAGGAUGACGGUACCUGAAGAAUAAGCACCGGCUAACUACGUGCCAGCAGCCGCGGUAAUACGUAGGGUGCAAGCGUUAAUCGGAAUUACUGGGCGUAAAGCGUGCGCAGGCGGUUUUGUAAGACAGAGGUGAAAUCCCCGGGCUCAACCUGGGAACUGCCUUUGUGACUGCAAGGCUUGAGUGCGGCAGAGGGGGAUGGAAUUCCGCGUGUAGCAGUGAAAUGCGUAGAUAUGCGGAGGAACACCGAUGGCGAAGGCAAUCCCCUGGGCCUGCACUGACGCUCAUGCACGAAAGCGUGGGGAGCAAACAGGAUUAGAUACCCUGGUAGUCCACGCCCUAAACGAUGUCAACUGGUUGUUGGGAAGGUUCCUUCUCAGUAACGUAGCUAACGCGUGAAGUUGACCGCCUGGGGAGUACGGCCGCAAGGUU